GACAGAGGGUGCAAACGUUGUUCGGAAUCAUUGGGCGUAAAGGGCGCGUAGGUGGUUCUGUAUGUCUACCGUGAAAGCGUACGGCUCAACCGUAUUUUGUCGGUGGAAACUGCAGGACUUGAGGCUGGGAGGGGCUGGUGGAAUUCCCUGUGUAGCGGUGAAAUGCGUAGAGAUGGGGGAGAACACUCGUGGCGAAGGCGGCCAGCUAGACCAGUUCUGACACUGAGGCGCGACAGCGUGGGGAGCAAACAGG
rnacentral:rRNA from 1 species